rnacentral:rRNA from 1 species
UACGUAGGGGGCAAGCGUUGUCCGGAUUUAUUGGGCGUAAAGAGCUCGUAGGUGGUUCGGUAAGUCGGAUGUGAAAUCUCCAGGCUCAACCUGGAGGGUCAUUCGAUACUGCCGUGACUAGAGGUCGGUAGGGGAGUGUGGAAUUCCUGGUGGAGCGGUGAAAUGCGUAGAUAUCGGGAGGAACACCAGUGGCGAAGGCGACUACCUGGCCUGUUUCUUGACGCUGAGGCGCGAAAGCUAGGGGAGCAAACGGG